rnacentral:rRNA from 1 species
UACAGAGGUCCCAAGCGUUGUUCGGAUUCACUGGGCGUAAAGGGUGCGUAGGUGGUCAGGUAAGUCACCUGUGAAAUCUCCUGGCUCAACUGGGAGCUUGCAGGCGAAACUGCCGUGCUGGAGUGUGGGAGAGGUGCGUGGAAUUCCUGGUGUAGCGGUGAAAUGCGCAGAUAUCAGGAAGAACACCGGUGGCGAAGGCGGGUCUCUGGGACGGUACUGACGCUGAGACGCGAAAGCGUGGGGAGCAAACAGG